rnacentral:rRNA from 1 species
CCCAAACCCCUGUGAACAUACCUAUCGUUGCCUCGGCGGGAUCGCCCCGGCGCCCUCGGGCCCGGACCCAGGCGCCCGCCGGAGGACCCAAACUCUUGUCUCUUUUGAGUAUCUUCUGAGUGACACAAGCAAAUAAAUCAAAACUUUCAACAACGGAUCUCUUGGUUCUGGCAUCGAUGAAGAACGCAGCGAAAUGCGAUAAGUAAUGUGAAUUGCAGAAUUCAGUGAAUCAUCGAAUCUUUGAACGCACAUUGCGCCCGCCAGUAUUCUGGCGGGCAUGCCUGUUCGAGCGUCAUUUCAACCCUCAAGCCCCCGGGCUUGGUGUUGGGGAUCGGCCCGCCCCGCGGCGCCGGCCCCGAAAUCUAGUGGCGGUCUCGCUGUAGCUUCCUCUGCGUAGUAGCAUACACCUCGCAGCCUGGAACGCGGCGCGGCCCUGCCGUUAAACCCCCAACUUUUAUGAUGUUGACCUCGGAUCAGGUAGGAAUA